GAGCGGGCGUAGCAAUACGUCAGCGGCAGACGGGUGAGUAACGCGUGGGAACGUACCUUAUGGUUCGGCACAACUCAGGGAAACUUGGGCUAAUACCGGAUAAGCCCUUACGGGGAAAGAUUUAUCGCCGAAAGAUCGGCCCGCGUCUGAUUAGCUAGUUGGUGAGGUAAUGGCUCACCAAGGCGACGAUCAGUAGCUGGUCUGAGAGGAUGAUCAGCCACAUAGGGAAUGAGACACGGCCCAAACUCCUACGGGAGGCAGCAGUGGGGAAUAUUGGACAAUGGGCGCAAGCCUGAUCCAGCCAUGCCGCGUGAGUGAUGAAGGCCCUAGGGUUGUAAAGCUCUUUUGUGCGGGAAGAUAAUGACGGUACCGCAAGAAUAAGCCCCGGCUAACUUCGUGCCAGCAGCCGCGGUAAU
rnacentral:rRNA from 1 species